rnacentral:piRNA from 1 species
UGCCACAGCUGGAGACAGUCACGGAGGUGU